GCUUCCGUAGCUCAGGUGGAUAGAGCGUCCCCCUCCUAAGGGGAAGGCCAGGGGUUCAAAUCCUCUCGGGAGCA
rnacentral:tRNA from 1 species